rnacentral:rRNA from 1 species
AUUGAACGCUGGCGGCAGGCCUAACACAUGCAAGUCGAACGAGUGGCGGACGGGUGAGUAAUGUCUGGGAAACUGCCCGAUGGAGGGGGAUAACUACUGGAAACGGUAGCUAAUACCGCAUACCAUCGGAUGUGCCCAGAUGGGAUUAGCUAGUAGGUGGGGUAACGGCUCACCUGGGCGACGAUCCCUCGCUGGUCUGAGAGGAUGACCAGCAACACUGGAACGGAGACCGGGUCCAGACUCCUACGGGAGGAAGCAGUGGGGAAUAUUGCACAAGGGGGGAAAGCCUGAUGCAGCCAUGCCGGGGGUAUGAAGAAGGCCUUGGGGUUGUAAAGUAUUUUCAGCGAGGAGGCGUUACUAGCAGAAGAAGCACCGGCUAACUCCGUGCCAGCAGCCGCGGUAAUU